rnacentral:rRNA from 1 species
UACGAGGGGGGCUAGCGUUGCUCGGAAUCACUGGGCGUAAAGGGUGCGUAGGCGGGUGUUUAAGUCAGGGGUGAAAUCCUGGAGCUCAACUCCAGAACUGCCUUUGAUACUGGCGAUCUCGAGUCCGGGAGAGGUGAGUGGAACUGCGAGUGUAGAGGUGAAAUUCGUAGAUAUUCGCAAGAACACCAGUGGCGAAGGCGGCUCACUGGCCCGGUACUGACGCUGAGGUGCGAAAGCGUGGGGAGCAAACAGG